CUGUUGGAGUGUAAAAACCUUUAAAAAAUGAAGGGAUGAAGGGCUCUUCGAGAUGCUCUGAAUACGCGAAACUUUGUAGUUUCUCUCUCUCUCAAAAACUUUUCGAAGCUUUUCAAGUUUUGUUUCUUUUCGCUUUCUCCACGAGCUUAAACCUCACAGUGCCCCUCACAAUCUACUUUAACUAAAGCCCCAUUUUCUCACUUUUGUUUCUCUCUCUCUCCCUGGAAACUCUUGUCGGUGGUGGUGAUUCUCCGACGAAGCUAUUUAUUCAUGGAUCCGAUCAAAGAAUCAGUUUUUUUAAAAGUGGGACCUUGAUGGGUAAUUCCGAGUAUGUCUUUGAAUGAAGAAAAAGGACUGGUUUAACUGAAAAGGGAAAGACAAAGAUUCCUUUUUUUUUUGUUGUCUGUUUCAGACAUACUUUGGUGCCUUUUUCUUUAAUCUCUUGUUUUGGGGGAAACUUGUAUGUUAGGGGAUCUGCGUUGAACGAAUAAGCGUGACUGCAUUGUCUUUCUUGCUACUCUCUGUGUGUGUUGCUUGUUGUAUACCCUUCUCUCUUGUGAAGUUUUAUGAGGUUUGAGUAACUUCUUGUGAUCUUACAAUAGAUCAUGGCAAAGCCAGUCUCUUUGGUUCUGCUCUCACAGCAUUCAAUCUCUGUCUUUGUGAGUUAGGGAUUAAAAAAAAUAGUUGGCUUUUUUAGCAGUUUCAUCCUCCUGUUGUUGUUGGAUUUUGAGCUAUGGAGGAUAUUGGGUUGGUGAAACAAGGUUGGAAAUGGAUGCAGUCUCAGAAACACAUGUGCUCUGAUGCUUGUUCUGCACUGAGAUGGUUUGUGGAGAAGAUAGGAGAGCUCGUGGAGCGUCACUGGCCAUUGGUGUGUAGUGGAUGCGGGAAGCUAAUAGGCCUGGUUCGUCUUUCGAUUGUUUACUGGAAAGAUUGCAUUCUGAGGGGUUUCCGUUGCAGUGCCAAGUUGGGCUCAUCCGCUUUGCUUCUGAUUAUGUGGAGUUGCUUCCUUAGCUUGACUUCCUUCUCUUGCUUGCUCUAUGUUCUCCUCAGUAUGGGAGCUGGUGCAGCUGUUGUUUUGAACCUUGGUUGCACUCCUGGGCUCUUUAUUGUAGGAUUAUUUGGUAUUUUGGUUUUAUGGAUGUAUGCAAACUUUUGGAUCACCGGAACAUUGUUUAUUGUUGGAGGCUAUUUAUUCUCCUUAAACCAUGCCCGUCUGGUGGUUCUAGUGGCGGCCUUAUACGCUAUGUACUGUGUCAAAGUCAGACUUGGAUGGCUUGGCGUUUUGCUCUCAGUGAAUCUUUCUUUCUUGUCCAACGAUGUAUUGAACUGUCUUCUUCAGUGGUGUGACAAUCUAAGUGAAAAGACACAAGCUGAAGAACCAAAGAGAGUCAAAGAAACAAUCAUAGAAGAAGACUACUCAGGUGAAUUUGAGUAUCCUUCAGUUCCCGUUGAAGAAGAGAGGAAGGUUCAGGAGGAUAAGUCAUCUGCUGCUGAACCAACAACUCCUACAACUGUUGUUAAUAGCGUGAAGGAGAUUGCUAGUGUUAAGAUUGUCAAAAUAGAAACAAGUUCAUCAGCGGAUGAAAUGAAGAGAAUACUGAAAAGUUUGAACCAUUACGAAGCGUUGGGGUUCCCACGUCAUAGUAAGAUUGAUGAUGCGGUGCUUAAAAAAGAGUAUAGAAAGAAGGCAAUGCUGGUUCAUCCGGAUAAAAACAUGGGAAGUCCUUUAGCUAGUGAAUCAUUCAAGAAACUUCAAUCUGCUUAUGAGGUUCUAUCUGAUAUAGUAAAGAAGAGAGAUUACGAUGAGCAUUAAGAAAAAGAAGAGUCUAGGACCAGGAGUGUUUGUCAGACAUCUCAUGCUUCUUCACAUCAGAGUGGUCAUGGUUACCGAUCGGAAGAGUCGAGGCGGAUACAUUGUACAAAAUGUGGUAAUUCACACAUAUGGGUGUGCACCAGUAGGACUAAAGCAGAGGCGAGAUGGUGCCAGGAUUGCGGUCAAUAUCAUCAAGCCAAAGAUGGAGAUGGGUGGGUUGAACUCAAAGGGACUUUACCAUUGGAGAGAGCCCAUAAGAUUGAGAUUCCACGUGCUUUUGUUUGUGCGGAAAGCAAAAUCUUUGACGUCUCAGAAUGGGCCAUUUGUCAGGGAAUGGCGUGUAGACCAAACACGCAUAGGCCAAGCUUUCAUGUGAACAUGGUUGGGUUAGAAAAGACAACGCAGAGAUCAAACUCGAGUAGGUUCCCGUGGGAUUUAGACGUGGAGAUGAUGGAUGAGGAUGAAGAAGAGUUUGAGCUAUGGCUUCAACAAGCCCUUGCUUCUGGUCUGUUUUGCGAGACCUCAAAACGUAGAAAAAGCUGGAGCCUUUUAAGUUGAGCCAGAUGAAAACUAAGAAACAAUGGCGAAGAACAUCCACUUGAUUCUCUUCAAAACUUCCGUAGCUCUCUCACCAUGGUUGAAGAGUUGAAAAGACAGGAUUCGCAGAAAGUGAAUACAAAGCCCUCAAGAGCUUACCUUUGGGGUUUUCUCUGUAAAUAGAAAGUUGUGGUUUUUUUGUUACAAAUCUUCCACUGUUGUAAAACUACUUGAAGAAAUUUCUUUUAAAAGAAACUGUUUUUCUUUUACAA